rnacentral:snRNA from 1 species
AGUGACAGAGGGUGGUACAACGAAACAAUCCCCUCGCCUUUUACUAGGGGAUUCCGUGUACUGCCCUCACCUCAAUGUCACAAUGCGAAUUUUUCAGCAUACAUGAACCUCGAGUUCGUCG